UAUAAAGUACAUUCUGUUUUCUCUUGAAAGUUCUCAUUUAAAGUAUCAAGAAUGGUGUGAGUGUCAGGACAUUUCUCCCAGCUGACUCAGAUUCUACUCAUGUGAAGACCCAGCAAGUUGUUAUGGAAUUAAGAGUUCAUUACUUUUCAGAAAUCCAGGUUUUCCUAAAACUAACUCCCACUGGGAAAUGUGACCUUAAAGAGCUAAUUUCAAUAAACACUAUGGGAGAGUGUACUAUGUACAAUCCAGGUAAAGCCCUUGGGCAAAAAAUUAAAUUGGAGGCUAUUUCAGCCACUGAGGAACGCAGACUCCGGUGUGGAACAUGACACUGACGAAGUGGAUGGUGAAGACAAAUUUCAUUCAAAUUCUUAAAAACAUGUUUGCACGUCUCAUGUUAUGCUAGUAGUGUAUUUAUCACUUAUAAAAACCAUUUUGGCCUUCUGUACUAGAACUGAAGAGAGAGAUUCCUAUUUUAAGUUGUGCAACUGAAGGAAGAGGCAUCAUUACCACAUAGGAUAUUUCUGCAGGAUGAAAAUAUCCUCAGGCUGUGACUAAUGGAUAAAGUCAGAGUAAAGAGAUUUAAGCAUGGAUCUAAUCUUUCAUCGCCAUCACACCGUGAAUUUUACAAAGCACCUGUCGAGAGAGAGACAACUUAAAACCAAGUGGGAAAAGCAGAACAGACAGAGAUCACGCUAGACCUAAAGUCUCCGAAGGUCAUAAAACUUAAUGUAAAAACAAGAUGGAUUAUAGAAAAGCAUGAGCCAGACAGGGUAAUUAGAAACCAGGAAGCCUGAGAUGAAAUCACAUUUGCAGCAACACAGUCAGUGACGUAAGUGGUUGACCCAGAGCAAGAAGCCAGUUCUCUGGACUCUGGAAGCAAGGCCCGGCCACACUGCUGUUCCUCAGCAGAGGAGUUAUUACGGAUGUGAGCAACGGGCUUAGGUUGCUUUUUAAAAUGUGUGAAUAUCAGUGUCUGGUAUUUUAUUACAAUAACUUAAAACAUAAAAUUAAAAUCACAGCCUGCACAGCUGCAGAUUUCCCUUCCAAGGCAAUCCUUUUGCAUACCAACAGGAUUUGAGGACAGUCUUCUAUUUCAAACUUUUUUUUCUUAGCAACUUCAUGAAAACUUAGCUUUGUGAUAAGUGAUAAAUAGCUUUAAAUUAAAAGUUCCUAACUCUUUCUGAGUGAACGCUUUCUGAAAAAGAUCUAAGAAAAACAACUGAAUCUGAAGAAAUGAAUAUGGGAAAAAGCUUUUGAAUUUCUCUAAGGGUUCUUUGCAUUGCUUUCAUAUUGUUACAACCUCAAUAUCCUGUUUUAGCAGAGCUUAUUUAACCAGUUACUUUUUAGUUUUAUGGGGGAGCAAUGAAUGUAAAAGCCACAUAAAAGCCACAGCCAAAUGGAUGACAUCUGACCUUUAAUCAUCUCUUGGACUCUGCAUUCAUAACACACCACCUCCACUUACACAUGCGCGCACAUGCACACACACACACACACAGAGUAUACCAACCACUCCCUAAUUUACCAGACAUCAUGAUGUUGCUUAAAAAAUGAAAUCAC